GUGGGGAAUCUUCCACAAUGGACGAAAGUCUGAUGGAGCAACGCCGCGUGAGUGAAGAAGGGUUUCGGCUCGUAAAGCUCUGUUGUCGGGGACGAAUGUGCAGUAUUUGAAUAAAGUACUGCAAUGACGGUACCUGACGAGGAAGCCACGGCUAACUACGUGCCAGCAGCCGCGGUAAUACGUAGGUGGCAAGCGUUGUCCGGAAUUAUUGGGCGUAAAGGGAGCGCAGGCGGGAAGGUAAGUCGGUCUUAAAAGUGCGGGGCUCAACCCCGUGAUGGGAUCGAAACUAUCUAUCUUGAGUGCAGGAGAGGAAAGUGGAAUUCCUAGUGUAGCGGUGAAAUGCGUAGAUAUUAGGAGGAACACCAGUGGCGAAGGCGACUUUCUGGACGAUGUCUGACGCUGAGGCGCGAAAGCUAGGGGAGCGAACGGGAUUAGAAACCCCUGUAGUCC
rnacentral:rRNA from 1 species